CGCGUAGGCGGAUUAUCAAGUCUCUUGUGAAAUCUAAUGGCUUAACCAUUAAACUGCUUGGGAAACUGAUAGUCUAGAGUGAGGGAGAGGCAGAUGGAAUUGGUGGUGUAGGGGUAAAAUCCGUAGAUAUCACCAAGAAUACCCAUUGCGAAGGCGAUCUGCUGGAACUCAACUGACGCUAAGGCGCGAAAGCGUGGGGAGCAAACAGGAUUAGAUACCCUGGUAGUCCACGCCCUAAACGAUGUACACUAGUUGUUGGGAUGCUAGUCAUCUCAGUAAUGCAGCUAACGCAUUAAGUGUACCGCCUGGGGAGUACGGUCGCAAGAUUAAAACUCAAAGGAAUAGACGGGGACCCGCACAAGCGGUGGAGCAUGUGGUUUAAUUCGAAGAUACGCGAAGAACCUUACCUGGGCUUGAUAUCCUAAGAACCUUAUAGAGAUAUGAGGGUGCUAGCUUGCUAGAACUUAGAGACAGGUGCUGCACGGCUGUCGUCAGCUCGUGUCGUGAGAUGUUGGGUUAAGUCCCGCAACGAGCGCAACCCACGUAUUUAGUUGCUAACGGUUCGGCCGAGCACUCUAAAUAGACUGCCUUCGUAAGGAGGAGGAAGGUGUGGACGACGUCAAGUCAUCAUGGCCCUUAUGCCCAGGGCGACACACGUGCUACAAUGGCAUAUACAAUGAGACGCAAUACCGCGAGGUGGAGCAAAUCUAUAAAAUAUGUCCCAGUUCGGAUUGUUCUCUGCAACUCGAGAGCAUGAAGCCGGAAUCGCUAGUAAUCGUAGAUCAGCCAUGCUACGGUGAAUACGUUCCCGG
rnacentral:rRNA from 1 species